rnacentral:misc_RNA from 1 species
GAAAUGCGAUAAGUAAUGUGAAUUGCAGAAUUCAGUGAAUCAUCGAAUCUUUGAACGCACCUUGCGCUCCAUGGUAUUCCGUGGAGCAUGCCUGUUUGAGUGUCAUGAAAACAAUCAACCUUGACUUUGGUUUCACCGCCAUUGACUCGGCUUGGACUUGGGCGCUUGCCAUCUUCACGGAUGGCUCGCCUUAAAUGAAUUAGCUGGACUUGUUCUUGAUGGACUGGUUUGACUUGGCGUAAUAAGUAUUUCGCUGAGGACAUCUUCGGAUGGCCAACCUUCUGGACGACUGUCUGCUUUCCAACCCUUUGUUCUCCUCGGAGACAUGACUAUUUUAUUAUCUGGCCUCAAAUCAGGUAGGACUACCCGCUGAACUUAA